rnacentral:piRNA from 1 species
UCACCAUGUGGCUUGUCUUGUACUUUGGGC